UUUAUGGAGAGUUUGAUCCUGGCUCAGGAUGAACGCUGGCGGCGUGCCUAAUACAUGCAAGUCGAGCGAACAGACGAGGAGCUUGCUCCUCUGACGUUAGCGGCGGACGGGUGAGUAACACGUGUAAC
rnacentral:rRNA from 1 species